GUCCCCCACUGGUCUUCUGAGCAGACUUGACGCAGUUUCAUCUCAUUCCUGAGGUAUCCUGAGCCCCUCAGUGCCAUACUUCUGCGUGAGUGCUGUGAACUGGAGCAAAUGGGUUGAAAAUGGCCAGAAGUUGCUCUUGGUCUCUUUAGAUCUUUUAUGACAAAGAAAAAAAUUGAAUUUCUGACCAGUUAAAAUCCAUUUGAGCCAGUUUAAGCUAAUUAUGCAGAACUGGAGCCUGAGGUCGGUAAAUCCAGGAAGAUGGCUGAAUACUAUGCUGACUCAAGUACAGACAAGGAGCCAGAUGAGAAAACCAAGGCUCCAAGAGCUUCUGUAACUUGUCCAAGACCAUGCAGUUAGUGCACAGUGAGGCACAGAAUCAGUUGUAGAAGCACUUCAGGGAAUUCGGAUACUAUUUUGUGGCCUGGCAAGAUCAGCAGCCUUACUAUCUUAGUCCCUGCCAGUCAUCAGCUUCUGGUUUCCCUGUUAUCCUGCUGCUCCCUAGAAUGCAGCUAUUAAGUGGCCUAAGAGCCAGCACCUUCACGGAGUAGCAAAGAGGAAAGUCCAUUUGAGGACAGAGCGAGAAGACGAUGGUUAUCCACAAGCCAGAAAAAGAAGCCUCACCAGAAAUCCUGAUACCCUGAGUUUGGGUUUUCAAGCCCCUACAACUUCGAGACAAUGAAUAUCUUCUUUACAGUCUAUGAUAUCUUGUUUGGUAGACCAAGGAGACUAAUCUAUUACUUAAUAUUGGGAACAUUACUUAGAAGCUAAUGAUCUUCGAAAAUGGUAAAGUUAUUUAUGUUUGCUACUUUCAUUCUUCCUUUCCUCUGUUGAGCCAUUUAAAACAAUGAUACUGGCACUCAUUUCUCUUUACCUUUCAGUAUUUGAUUUCUAACAGAUGGCUAAGGUCUGACAAACACUGUCUUGAUAAUACACUACAGAGCGUUAGAGACAGACCCAGAUUUCCAUCCAAAGAGAGUAUUCUAAGCUUGGGUGGUGGCAAUGGAGCACUCUGACCUGUGAAGCACCAUUCUUUGAAGGCUUCUUUUGUGAUCCUCUUUAGAUCACAGUUUGGAACUGAGUUACAGACUAGAUCAUAUCUCCUCAUUCUCUCCAUUUGAUCUUUCUUCCCUCAUUAAUUCCAAAGUAUGCAAGCUAUAUGCUUUCUAGUGUUUUUCCCCCUUCACAGCCAUUGUCUAGGCACCAAAAAUAGAGAUGGAAAGAGACAGGUUUAAUCCAAAGCACCAGUUUCCAUUACCUUAAGCUUCCUCAAUGAUUUUUCUGAUGAGAUGAAAUUUCUUAUACUUGGUCUCAGGCCCAAGGUAUAUGCAAUACGUCAAUGAAAUUGAUUGCGACACAUUGAAGUGAGUGCCUGGGAACUAUGAGUUCCUUAACU
ensembl:lincRNA 5330434G04Rik RIKEN cDNA 5330434G04 gene